rnacentral:rRNA from 1 species
CGGCAAUAGCUCAAAUUUGAAAUCUGGCCUCUUCGAGGUCCGAGUUGUAAUUUGUAGAGGAUGCUUUGGCGUUGGGCCCGUCCUAGGUUCCUUGGAACAGGACGUCAUAGAGGGUGAGAACCCCGUCUUCGUUCGGGAUUCCUUCGCCGUGUAAAGCUCCUUCGAC